GACCGUUUGUCCUUGAGCCGUAGAUGGUCAACAAUCCGCUAGCAGUCUUGCUCUGACUGGUGCACUGGACAUGAUUUCAAUAGUCAGCCAGACCAUGAUUGAGCUUAAGGAUUGUGCUGCGGAUGCAGCCUGUGCAGUUCCGGGAGAAAGUCACUGUCUUGGGCAAUGCGGUCUGGUAUCAGGUCUGGAUGAUCCUUGCCUGACUGCGGGUUUGCGUAGACCUCAAUACGACUCUGUGUCCUGAACAGAGGCCGCAGUGGUGCAGCGCUUGUGGACGAUCCAUCAACAUCCUGAAAGGUCAACACUACACCAAGCUGGGAAAAUUGAUCCUGAUAGUCAUCCCCAGGUAGUGGAAUGAAUGUACACUGAACUACAGAGGAAUCACACCCAAAUGACUUUCCUGCCACGACAUUAGUGUGGCCACUCGCGUAGGAAUUCCUUAGCAAACAUGCUCUUUUGCAUGGUGACUGUGGGCAUUUUUGCAAAACUUACGCUUUCAACACUGGAUUUUACAGAGAAUACUUGAUAAAAUGUCGCUAACAGGACUUAUUUAUAUGAGAGAGACUAUCUGGAUGCGCAUUAAGUGUCACUUUGUGUCGUAAGCUGUUGAAGGAGCGAUUUGCGCCUUUUUAAGUGUUAAUUUUGGGUAGCCGGCUUGUAUCGGCUUGAAAGCUGCAAAUUAUGCCUCUCAUCAUAAUAGCAUUAAUUUUUGUAAUUGCAAUGUGUAUGUUUAGAUUGUAAGUGAAGCUUUUAAUAAUAAUUUUCUUAAAAAACAUGAUUUUAUAUGCCUUCAGUGAGUUUUUUAUGGAAAAAAGUGCUUAAAAUUAAAAAAAAGUCUCCUAUUUCAUCAAGAAAAGUACACUGAUUCACAAUCAAUACAUUUAUUUGGGCCUUUUGCUGAUAUAUUGGUGAAUUUCGCAUGCAAUGAUACCAGUUUUUGCCAUUAAAGUUACGCGUAACAAUAAUUGGAGACACAAAAUCAGCUGUCGUCACUUAGACUAAAAAUCAUGCAUUCCGACUUGACUGCGGCCAAUUUAGUCACCGCUUUAAAUGGCCAUUUUAAGGCCUUUACCCCCAUCCGAAUGCACUGAAAUUGCAUAUUCAUUGUGGAAAUAGUUGAAAUCUCAUGUGGAGAAAGUUUGAAAAAGAUAGGACAAAGUUGAGUUCCCUUAAAGGUUACAUUACACUAAAUCAUUGUGUAUCCCUCCGUGGUCCAUUCGAAAGUAGUGCCUAUUUCUAAAGAGUUCCUUUUCUCUUCUUGAAUAUAAGCCAUUUAACAAUGUGAGACAUGUCUUUUGUGGUUAUUUGUAAUAUCCUGUAUGUGUCUGGAGUACUUUGAUGCCUUGGAUUGGAAGCUAACUUAAAAGAUGAACUUUUGAGGGUGUGUUUUCUAUUGUGUGGGGCUUUUGUCGAAAUUAGGAUUCCGAAACACGUUUUUCUACGGUGGGUUCAUUCGACAGCGAUUUACUUUCUUAGAAGUUGCGAGACGGUAUGUUUUUGAUUGCAAUUAUUGGAAGAUGACAGAUCCAUCUUUAAAAUGAUACCAGGUUCGGAAAAAUUGAUACGUCGGAAAGGCAAGAAAAAUGCUGUGAAAGUUGUCAGUUUUAUAAUGGGACCCUAUGGGAAUCGGAAUUAGUGUAAUAUAACCUUUAAAAAGCACAUUUACAGCAAUGUCAAGGUCACAUGGAUUCGUCUGCAAGCGAGACAAGUAGAAAAUGAAUUUUAAUGAAUGUUUUGAUGAUUUGGGUGCUAAAAUAGAUGAGAGAUGUCAAUAUUUUGGUCCAAAUGGAUGUUUUAGGUGGUUUUGGACUGUUCCGGAUGGAUGG